rnacentral:rRNA from 1 species
CCGGUGUGUGAAGAAGGCUGAGGGUUGAAAGCACUUUCAAUAGGAAGGAAUACCUAUCGGUUAAUACCCGGUAGACUGACAUUACCUAUACAAGAAGCACCGGCUAACUCCGUGCCAGCAGCCGCGGUAAUACGGAGGGUGCAAGCGCUAAUCGGAAUUACUGGGCGUAAAGCGUGCGUAGAGCGGUUAUUUACAGUCAGAUGUGAAAGCCCUGGGCUUAACCUGGGAACUGCAUUUGAUACUGGAUGACUAGAGUUGAGUAGAAGGAGAGUGGAAUUUCAGGUGUAAGCGGUGAAAUGCGUAGAGAUCUGAAGGAACACCAGUGGCGAAUGCGGCUCUCUGGACUCAAACUGACGCUGAGGUACGAAAGCGUGGGCAGCAAACAGGAUUAGAUACCCUGGUAGUCCACGCCGUAAACGAUGUCAACUAACCGUUGGGUUCUUUAAGAACUUAGUGGUGGAGCUAACGUAUUAAGUUGACCGCCUGAGGAGUACGGCCGCAAGGCUAAAACUCAAAUGAAUUGACGGGGGCCCAGACAAGCGGUGGAGCAUGUGGUAUAAUUCGAUGCAACGCGAAGAAUCUUAUCUAACCUAGACAUGUAGCGAAUCCUUUAGAGA